CCGGGAUGAACAACAUAGCAUGACUCAUACGCCUUAGCAAUAAUCCUUUAUCGCAAAUUAUUGAUAUCAGGAACACACAACCUCCCUUGAUACCGUAAAGUACCAUCACCACCAAUCUCAAACACCAUUAGCUUUUGCCUACCAAAAAUACUCUUGAUUUUAAUCAAUAUAGGAUCUAGCAUUUGCUUCUCCUUUAUCUCUACACUAUGAGACGAUCGAACCACUUCUUACACCAUCA
rnacentral:lncRNA from 1 species